GGUGGCUCAGUGGUAGAGUGCUUGCCUUUCAGGCAUGAGGCCCUGGGUUUGAUUCCUCAGCACCA
rfam:Dipodomys ordii contig_29616, whole genome shotgun sequence.